rnacentral:rRNA from 1 species
CUACGGGCUGCACCAGUGAGGAAUAUUGCACAAUGGGGGGAACCCUGAUGCAGCAACGCCGCGUGGAGGAUGACGCAUUUCGGUGUGUAAACUCCUUUUAUAUGUCAAGAAAAUGACGGUAGCAUAUGAAUAAGCACCGGCUAACUCCGUGCCAGCAGCCGCGGUAAUACGGAGGGUGCAAGCGUUACUCGGAAUCACUGGGCGUAAAGGACGCGUAGGCGGGUUGGAAAGCCAGGUGUGAAAUCCUACAGCUUAACUGUAGAACUGCACUUGAAACUUCUAAUCUAGAGUAUGGGAGGGGGAGAUGGAAUUAGUGGUGUAGGGGUAAAAUCCGUAGAUAUCACUAGGAAUACCUAAAGCGAAGGCGAUCUCCUGGAACAUUACUGACGCUAAGGCGUGAAAGCGUGGGGAGCAAACAGGAUUAGAUACCCUCGUAGUC